rnacentral:rRNA from 1 species
CUCCGACUCAGGAGUUUGAUCCUGGCUCAGAGCGAACGCUGGCGGCAGGCCUAAUACAUGCAAGUCGAAACGGUCUCUUCGGAGGCAGUGGCGGACGGGUGAGUAACGCGUGGGAAUAUGCCCUUUGGUACGGAACAACUGAGGGAAACUUCAGCUAAUACCGUAUGUGCCCUUCGGGGGAAAGAUUUAUCGCCAUUGGAGUAGCCCGCGUUGGAUUAGGUAGUUGGUGGGGUAAAGGCCUACCAAGCCUACGAUCCAUAGCUGGUCUGAGAGGAUGAUCAGCCACACUGGGACUGAGACACGGCCCAGACUCCUACGGGAGGCAGCAGUAGGGAAUCUUGCGCAAUGGGCGAAAGCCUGACGCAGCCAUGCCGCGUGAAUGAUGAAGGUCUUAGGAUUGUAAAAUUCUUUCACCGGGGAAGAUAAUGACGGUACCCGGAGAAGAAGCCCCGGCUAACUUCGUG